rnacentral:rRNA from 1 species
AGAGUUUGAUCAUGGCUCAGAAUGAACGUUGGCGGCGUGGAUUAGGCAUGCAAGUCGAGCGAUAAGUGUUCUUCGGAAUACGGAAAGCGGCAAACGGGGUAGUAGGACGUCGGAACGUGCCCUGAGGCCGGGAAUAGCCACGGGAAACUGUGGGUAAUGCCCGAUAACCUCCAAGGAGCAAAGAUUUAUCUCCUCAGGAGCGGCCGACGCGUUACUAGGUAGUUGGUAGGGUAAUGGCCUACCAAGCCUAUGAUGACUAGGGGAUGUGAGAGCAUGAUCCCCACCACUGGGACUGAGAACUGCCCAGACACCUACGGGUGGCUGCAGUCGAGAAUCUUCGGCAAUGGACGAAAGUCUGACCGAGCGACGCCGCGUGUGGGAUGAAGGCCUUUGGGUUGUAAACCACUGUCAGGGGGGACUAAGCGCAAGUUGAAGGAGCCCCAGAGGAAGCGCGGGCUAAGUUCGUGCCAGCAGCCGCGGUAAUAC